GACGAACGCUGGCGGCGUGCCUAAUACAUGCAAGUCGAACGCACUCUCGUUUAGAUUGAAGGAGCUUGCUCCUGAUUGAUAAACAUUUGAGUGAGUGGCGGACGGGUGAGUAACACGUGGGUAACCUGCCCUAAAGUGGGGGAUAACAUUUGGAAACAGAUGCUAAUACCGCAUAAAACCUAGCACCGCAUGGUGCAGGGUUGAAAGAUGGUUUCGGCUAUCACUUUAGGAUGGACCCGCGGUGCAUUAGUUAGUUGGUGAGGUAAAGGCUCACCAAGACCGUGAUGCAUAGCCGACCUGAGAGGGUAAUCGGCCACACUGGGACUGAGACACGGCCCAGACUCCUACGGGAGGCAGCAGUAGGGAAUCUUCCACAAUGGACGAAAGUCUGAUGGAGCAACGCCGCGUGAGUGAAGAAGGUUUUCGGAUCGUAAAACUCUGUUGUUGGAGAAGAAUGUAUCUGAUAGUAACUGAUCAGGUAGUGACGGUAUCCAACCAGAAAGCCACGGCUAACUACGUG
rnacentral:rRNA from 2 species